rnacentral:miRNA from 1 species
CACUCCAGGAAGUGCCAUCCA